ACGAACGCUGGCGGCAUGCCUAACACAUGCCAGUCGAACGAGACCUUCGGGUCUAGUGGCGCACGGGUGCGUAACGCGUGGGAACCUGCCUUUAGGUUCGGAAUAACUCAGAGAAAUUUGAGCUAAUACCGGAUGAUGUCUUCGGACCAAAGAUUUAUCGCCUUUAGAUGGGCCCGCGUUGGAUUAGCUAGUUGGUGGGGUAAAGGCCUACCAAGGCGACGAUCCAUAGCUGGUCUGAGAGGAUGAUCAGCCACACUGGGACUGAGACACGGCCCAGACUCCUACGGGAGGCAGCAGUGGGGAAUAUUGGACAAUGGGCGAAAGCCUGAUCCAGCAAUGCCGCGUGAGUGAUGAAGGCCUUAGGGUUGUAAAGCUCUUUUACCCGAGAUGAUAAUGACAGUAUCGGGAGAAUAAGCGCCGGCUAACUCCGUG
rnacentral:rRNA from 1 species